GUGCCAGUAGCUCAGCUGGAUAGAGCAUCGGCCUUCUAAGCCGAGGGUCGGGGGUUCGAGUCCCUCCAGGCGUGCCA
rnacentral:tRNA from 1 species